GUCUUUGUUUUCAUAAUUUUAAGCUGUUGAUGUGUAGGUUUGUUAUGUGAGGUUCCUGUCUCUGUUUUCCUAAUUUUAAGCUGUUGAUGUGUAGGUUUGUUAUGUGAGGUUCCUGUGUUUGUUUUCCUAAUUUUAAGCUGUUGAUGUGUAGGUUUGUUAUGUGAGGUUCCUGUGUUUGUUUUCCUAAUUUUAAGCUGUUGAUGUGUAGGUUUGUUAUGUGAGGUUCCUGUCUUUGUUUUCCUAAUUUUAAGCUGUUGAUGUGUAGGUUUGUUAUGUAAGGUUCCUGUCUUUGUUUUCCUAAUUUUAAGCUGUUGAUGUGUAGGUUUGUUAUGUGAGGUUCCUGUCUUUGUUUUCCUAAUUUUAAGCUGUUGAUGUGUAGGUUUGUUAUGUGAGGUUCCUGUCUUUGUUUUCCUAACUUUAAGCUGUUGAUGUGUAGGUUUGUUAUGUAAGGUUCCUGUCUUUGUUUUCCUAAUUUUAAGCUGUUGAUGUGUAGGUUUGUUAUGUGAGGUUCCUGUCUUUGUUUUCCUAAUUUUAAGCUGUUGAUGUGUAGGUUUGUUAUGUGAGCUUCCUGUCUUUGUUUUCCUAAUUUUAAGCUGUUGAUGUGUAGGUUUGUUAUGUGAGGUUCCUGUGUUUGUUUUCCUAAUUUUAAGCUGUUGAUGUGU